CGUGUAGGCGGCCUGGAAGGUCAGCUGUGAAAACUCGAGGCUCAACCUCGAGACGUCGGUUGAAACCACCUGGCUAGAGUCCGGAAGAGGAGUGUGGAAUUCCCGGUGUAGCGGUGAAAUGCGCAGAUAUCGGGAAGAACACCCGUGGCGAAGGCGGCACUCUGGGACGGUACUGACGCUGAGACGCGAAAGCGUGGGGAGCGAACA
rnacentral:rRNA from 1 species